GGAUGAGCGCGCAGUGCAGCGCCUCCUGUGGUUAAGUCCUGUAGCUUUGAUGAAAUUCUGGCAACUUGUGAGCAAAUAAAACUAAAGAAAUAUCGCUCCUUCGAUCUCUCUUGAAAACCUGCAUUCUGUGUCACCUCUCUCAGGUGUUCAGCCUGUUUGCUGAUGUGAUGUAUUACCAGCGUAAUGCAGGAGCAGCUCGUGCGCUCGGCCACUCGUCUUUUUUAUGAUACGCCCUGCUGAGAAAAUAUAUAUAAGUUAAUUUUUAUAUAUAUUUAGGUUUAAAAUGUAAGGCUUUAAAUUGCUACCACUCUGUGGAUAAAACCACAGAAGAAGAAAAUGGACUUCAGCAUUAAGAUCCUCAGUGUGGAUCAUUUGAUUAUCAGCCUGAAGUCUACAGUUUAGUUUCACAUCAUAUGAAUCUGAACAGAGAAAUUAAACCUGUUGUCUUAC